rnacentral:rRNA from 1 species
AACGCCUACGGGACGCAGCAGUAGGGAAUCUUCCACAAUGGGCGAAAGCCUGAUGGAGCAACGCCGCGUGGGUGAAGAAGGUCUUCGGAUCGUAAAACCCUGUUGUUAGAGAAGAAAGUGCGUGAGAGUAACUGUUCACGUUUCGACGGUAUCUAACCAGAAAGCCCCGGCUAACUACGUGCCAGCAGCCGCGGUAAUACGUAGGUGGCAAGCGUUCUCCGGAUUUAUUGGGCGUAAAGGGAACGCAGGCGGUCUUUUACGUCUGAUGUGAAAGCCUUCGGCUUAACCGGAGUCGUGCCUU